CGGAACGGGUGAGUAACACGUAGACAACCUGCCCCCUGGCCCGGGACAACCUCUGGAAACGGAGGCUGAUACCGGACGGGCAGGAGAGGGGCAUCCCUCUCCUGUGAAAGGCCCUGCAAGGGGCCGCGAGGGGAUGGGUCUGCGGUGCAUUAGCUAGUUGGCGGGGCAGCGGCCCACCAAGGCGACGAUGCAUAGCCGGCCUGAGAGGGCGGACGGCCACAUUGGGACUGAGACACGGCCCAGACUCCUACGGGAGGCAGCAUG
rnacentral:rRNA from 1 species